UGCCCGGCCUACUGUCACUUUCAUUAAGGCAUAACAAUGUUGUAAAUGCCAUGAUUUUGGAUGUCCUGUACCAUCAGGUGAGAAUUACCAUUUUCUUUAACAUAGGUUAUGCUUGUUUGCUGAUGGAAAUGAUCCAGAAGAGAAGGACAAGUUGACGAUUGAGAGGGUUAAUGUCAGGAGAAGGAGUCUGGAAGGACGCUGACAACGGGUGGUGGUCAGGAAGGAAAACCCAGUGCCUGUGGCCCAGAGGCUGGAGGAGGAACUUCAAGGAGGGAUGUUCAGCUCCCUGUGGACCCCCAUUUGUUCAUCCAUACAAUGAUGCUCUGAGGAGCACACAAGGAAGGUGCAAAUUUGAUAAAAUGUGCAUGAUGUAAGGAGCAUAAACCCCCUCAGGAAAGAGUUGCUGCCUUUUCACUAAUGUAUCCCUGAGCUGCACAGAGCAGCCCUGGGGGACUGGGAGGACAUGUCCCCGGUGUGAGGAGCAGGGGAAAGGUGAGCCUUAAAUGAUCACCAACAAACAACAGGGCCUGUGUCUGGGGCUUACACCACGACAUGUGGUCCUCGCAGCACCAUUGCUCAGAGGAAGA
rnacentral:lncRNA from 10 species